CAAAGGUAGCGUAAUCAUUUGUCUAUUAAUUGUAGACUGGUAUGAAAGGCCACAUGAGAGCCAAACUGUCUCUUAUAAUAAAUCAAUUAAACUGAUCUCCUAGUACAAAAGCUAGAAUAACUAUAUAAGACCAGAAGACCCUGUGAAGCUUAAACUAAACUAUUAAACCAAUUAAUAACUACUUUCGGUUGGGGCGACCUUGGAACAAAACCAAACUUCCAAACAAAAUGAGCUAUACCUCAUAACCCUAGGCCAACAAGCCAACCAACGACCCAGUAUAACUGAUCAUUGAACCAAGUUACUCCAGGGAUAACAGCGCUAUCUUCUUCAAGAGCCCAUAUCAAAAAGAAGGUUUACGACCUCGAUGUUGGAUCAGGACACCCAAAUGGUGUAGCCGCUAUUAAUGGUUCGUUUGUUCAACGAUUAACAGU
rnacentral:rRNA from 1 species